CCUACGUGUGGCAGCAGUGGGGAAUAUUGCGCAAUGGGCGAAAGCCUGAAGCAGCGAAGCCGCGUGAGGGAUGAAGGUCUUCGGAUCGUAAAGCUCUAUCAGCAGGGAAUAGAAAAGAAGGUACCUGAAAAAGAAGCACAGGCUAACUACGUGCCAGCAGCCGCGGUAAGAAGUAGGGGGCAAGCGUUAUCCGGAUUUACUGGGUGUAAAGGGAGGGUAGACGGAAAGGAAAGUCAGAAGUGAAAGCCCAAGGAUCAACCAUGGGACUGCUUUUGAAACUGUCAAACUAGAGUACGGGAGAGGUAAGAGGAAUGCCUAGUGUAGCGGUGAAAUGCGUAGAUAUUAGGAGGAACACCAGUGGCGAAGGCGUCUUACUGGACCCAAACUGACGUUGAGGCUCGAAAGCGUGGGUAGCAAACAGGAUUAGAUACCCCUGUAGUC
rnacentral:rRNA from 1 species